AGUGAACGCUGGCGGUAGGCCUAACACAUGCAAGUCGAACGGCAGCACAGUAAGAGCUUGCUCUUACGGGUGGCGAGUGGCGGACGGGUGAGGAAUACAUCGGAAUCUACUUUUUCGUGGGGGAUAACGUAGGGAAACUUACGCUAAUACCGCAUACGACCUACGGGUGAAAGCAGGGGAUCUUCGGACCUUGCGCGAUUGAAUGAGCCGAUGUCGGAUUAGCUAGUUGGCGGGGCAAAGGCCCACCAAGGCGACGAUCCGUAGCUGGUCUGAGAGGAUGAGCAGCCACACUGGAACUGAGACACGGUCCAGACUCCUACGGGAGGCAGCAGUGGGGAAUAUUGGACAAUGGGCGCAAGCCUGAUCCAGCCAUACCGCGUGGGUGAAGAAGGCCUUCGGGUUGUAAAGCCCUUUUGUUGGGAAAGAAAAGCAGCAGGUUAAUACCCCGCUGUUCUGACGGUACCCAAAGAAUAAGCACCGGCUAACUUCGUG
rnacentral:rRNA from 1 species